rnacentral:rRNA from 1 species
AUGGGGAAGUGGAUCAAGUCGCUGGUGGGCCUCAAGGCGCCGUCGGCGUCCGCGGCGCCGGGGAAGGGGCGGAAGUGGAGCCGGCUGUGGCGGAGCGCGUCCAGGGACGGCGCCGGGGGCUGCGAGACGUCCUCAACCACGUCGUCCGCCAGCGCGCUCGGCUCGGUCGUGGCCGCCGCGGCGCGCGCGCCGCCCCGGGACUUCCGCGUGAUCAGGCAGGAGUGGGCCGCCGUGCGCAUCCAGGCCGCCUUCCGCGCCCUCCUGGUAAGUGGUAACCGACGCGCAGAUUGCUCCAUGGUUUCGUGCUACUACGUAUUCCGAUCUGAUGCGAUACUGGUGUUUGUUGAUGAACUGAUGGUCUCUCGCGCGGUUGAUCAGGCGAGGCGGGCGCUGAAGGCGCUGCGGGGCAUCGUGCGGCUGCAGGCGCUGGUGCGCGGCCGGCUGGUGCGGCGGCAGCUCGCCGUCACGCUCAGCCGCAUGGAGGCGCUGCUGAGGGUGCAGGAGCGCGCCAUGGAGCGCCGGGCGCGCUGCUCCGCCGACGCGCUGUCACAGGACGCGCCCGGCCACCGCGACGGCCGUGCCGAUCCGCUCAGGGAAACUGAGGAACGAUGGUGUGACAGGCAAGGUUCUGUCAACCAAGUAAAAUCAAGAAUGCACAUGAAACAUGAGGGUGCAGUGAAGAGACAAAGGGCAAUUGCUUAUGCUCAUUCUCACCAGGGUCGGAGUUCAAGAUACAGUGGAAGGUCAAGCUCCCCUGCAAGCUCUCUCAGGAACCAUGAGUCUUACAUAGAAGGAUGGAUGGCAACAAAACCCUGGGAGAGCACGCAUAUGGACUCAAACCUCGGCCAGUCGCGUCGUCUACAUAGCUACAAGGAGACGAUAAACUUCGAAGACUCCAAAUAUUCAUGUGCUGGCUCCACCAAGAUCAGAAGAAACAAUGACUCAGCCAGAGUUGAAGCAAUGCCUCCACCGGCGCUCUCGGCUUCCUCCUCGGACUUUGGGUGCGACGAGAGCUCUCCGUCGACAUCCUCGGUGACCCCAGGAUACUCUGCUACCAACACCUUGGCAUCAGAGGCAAGAUCCGACAGUGGUGGAGGGCCGGGGUACAUGAGCUUGACCAAGGCUGCCAAGGCAAGGCUGGAGGACGUCGGCGGCAGUCGGAGAGGGCCGUUCCAGCUGCAGAGGCAGCGGUCUGGGGGCGUGCCGUAUUACAGCAGAAGGGUGGCGCUCUCUUCGUUGGACUCCGAGAGCAACGCGGGAUCGGAUGUCUCGGCCGCCGCGAGGAGGUUGAACAGCUUGUCUCUCAAAGGGCAGAGCAUGACGAGGAGCUUGGACAAGGAGAACUACAAUUAUUAA